UUGGAGCUGAGAUCCCAAAUUCCAAGGGGUUUUGCGGAAAAUGAAAAGAAGAUAGAAAAUGUUGCAGCCUUUACUAACGAAGAUGCAUUGGAAUUUUGUCUUGCUCAAGGAGGGGAAACAUUACAACAUCUGGAGCAGGAUUUUCUUCCUCAUAUGUCUAGUAUAAAUGAGGUUUUUGGGGAGGAGAAUGAUGAAGACAUAGAAGACAACAAUCAUGGAACUGAAGUUUAUUGGGGUGAUGACAAGGAAUUGGGAAAGACCAAGGAGAGUGCUGCUAAGAAGGAGAUUGUCCUUCUUGAUGAUAAGAUUCAUGGGGAUGGAGAUGUGAAGAAGUCGAUUCAAAAGGAGGAGCAAAAAUUUCAAAUUCUUGAAGAUUUAAUUCAGCAGAGUUUUGAGAAUGAUGUUAAUGGUGCAAAUGAUGAGAAUACUCAGGGUUUUGAGAAUGAUAACAUUGCUGAAGCCUCCAGUAAAGUGCAUGAUGAAUGCAUUCAAAGACAAGAGAAGUUGCUGGAAAAAGAGGUUCGGAAAUAGGGAAAAUCUGAGAAGCCUGAUGUCAGUAAACAGAGAUUUCAUGAAGGUCAACUUCUUGGGAAUUCUGAAAAGCCAAGUGAAGAACAAAAUGGCUCAGGCGAGGUUUCCAAUAAGAAUGACAAGGGCACUGAGAUGGAGCAGGAUUUCAUUGCUGAUACAUUUAGUGUGAGCGAGGACUCUGAGAAGGAAAAUGCUGAAGAGGGUGAUGAGGGGCAACCAGAUUAUGCAAGGGGAAAACAGGAGCUGAAUAUAAAAUGAAAGUCCUUUGCUCAAUGACACAAAGGAUGAUUU
rnacentral:misc_RNA from 1 species